rnacentral:tRNA from 1 species
GGGGCUAUAGCUCAGCUGGGAGAGCGCCUGCUUUGCACGCAGGAGGUCUGCGGUUCGAUCCCGCAUAGCUCAACCA